rnacentral:snoRNA from 2 species
GGUUUCCAUGCAAAGAUAUCUUUAUUGUUCUGAAGAAAGGUGAUGAGCGCGCUUUCCUAUUUACAAUCUAACUCGGCGCC